rnacentral:rRNA from 1 species
GGGCACUCUAGCGAGACUGCCGGUAAUAAACCGGAGGAAGGUGGGGAGUGACGUCAAAUCAUCAUGCCCCUUAUGACCUGGGCUACACACGUGCUACAAUGGUUGGUACAACGAGUUGCGAGUCGGUGACGGCGAGCUAAUCUCUUAAAGCCAAUCUCAGUUCGGAUUGUAGGCUGCAACUCGCCUACAUGAAGUCGGAAUCGCUAGUAAUCGCGGAUCAGCACGCCGCGGUGAAUACGUUCCCGGGCCUU